rnacentral:rRNA from 1 species
GCGAGACGGUGACGUUUAGCAAAUCCCAGAAAUAACGUCCCAGUUCGGAUUGUAGUCUGCAACCCGACUACAUGAAGCUGGAAUCGCUAGUAAUCGCGAAUCAGAAUGUCGCGGUGAAUACGUUCCCGGGUCUUGUACACACCGCCCGUCACACCAUGGGAGUCGGAAAUGCCCGAAGUCAGUGACCUAACCGAAAGGGGGAGCUGCCGAAGGUGGAGCCGGUAACUGGGGUGAAGUCGUAACAAGGUAAC